rnacentral:rRNA from 1 species
AAUCAACGCUGGCGGCGUGCCUCAGACAUGCAAGUCGAACGAUUAAAGCUCUCUUCGGAGAGUGUAUAGAGUGGCGCACGGGUGAGUAACACGUAAGUAAUCUACCUUUGAGUGGGGAAUAACAGUCGGAAACGACUGCUAAUACCGCAUAAUGCAGCGGCAUCGCAAGAUGACAGUUGUUAAAGGAGCAAUCCGCUUAAAGAGGAGCUUGCGGCAGAUUAGCUAGUUGGUAAGAUAAUGGCUUACCAAGGCUACGAUCUGUAUCCGGUCUAAGAGGACGGUCGGACACACUGACACUGAAUAACGGGUCAGACUCCUACGGGAGGCAGCAGUCGGGAAUUUUGGGUCGAAUGGGCGAAAGCCUGACCCAGCAACGCCGCGUGAAGGAUGAAGUAUUUCGGUAUGUAAACUUCGAAAGAAUAGGAAGAAUAAAUGACGGUACUAUUUAUAAGGUCCGGCUAACUACGUGCCAGCCGCCGCCGUAAU